rnacentral:rRNA from 1 species
UAGGGAAUCUUCCGCAAUGGACGAAAGUCUGACGGAGCAACGCCGCGUGAGUGAAGAAGGAUUUCGGUUCGUAAAACUCUGUUGUUAGGGAAGAAAAAAUGUAUAGUAACUAUAUACAAAAGAGACGGUACCUAACCAGAAAGCCACGGCUAACUACGUGCCAGCAGCCGCGGUAAUACGUAGGUGGCAAGCGUUGUCCGGAAUUAUUGGGCGUAAAGCGCGCGCAGGUGGUUUAGAAAGUCUGAUGUGAAAGCCCACGGCUCAACCGUAGAAGGUCAUUGGAAACUAAUAAACAUUAGUGCAGGAGAGAAAAGUGGAAUUCCUAGUGUAGCGGUGAAAUGCGUAGAGAUUAGGAGGAACACCGGUGGCGAAAGCGGCUUUUUGGCCUGCAACUGACACUGAGGCGCGAAAGCGUGGGGAGCAAACAGG